rnacentral:rRNA from 1 species
GAUGAACACUAGCUGGAGGCUUAAUACAUGCAAGUCGAGCGGGAUUGGGUAGCAAUACCCAUGAGAGCGGCGCACGGGUGAGUAACGCGUACACGACCUACCUCUAACAGGGGGAUAGCCCUGGGAAACUGGGAUUAAUACCGCAUAUAAUUCUGAAUAAUAAAGGUUUGGAAUGAAAGCUGAGGCGGUUAGAGAUGGGUGUGCGUCUGAUUAGCUAGUUGGUGGGGUAACGGCCUACCAAGGCGAUGAUCAGUAGGGGGCGGGAGAGCGUGGUCCCACACACGGCUACUCAGACACGGACCCGACUCCUACGGGAGGCAGCAGUAAGGAAUAUUGGUCAAUGGGCGAAAGCCUGAACCAGCCAUCCAGCGUGAAGGAAGAAGGCCCUAUGGGUUGUAAACUGCUUUUAUCAGGGAAGAAACCUCUGGAUUUACUCCGGAGCUGACGGUACCUGAAGAAUAAGCACCGGCUAACUCCGUGCCAGCCGCCGCCGUAAUAC